CUGUUUUUAUGCUUAACCCUAGCACCCGAGAAUGCACCAAACUUCCCCUCAAUGAAAUUAAAAUAGAAGGUUACUGGCCGGGAUUUGCUACAUAUCACUUUGGGUACAGUCCACUUUCCAACGAGUAUAAGGUUCUCCAGUUCCUCUAUCUUCAUUCCAAAGGACUUGGAAAAUGUCAUGUCGGGUUCAACAUAAUCACACUAGGCACGAGUUCAUGGAGGCCAUUGCAGGUAGACAAUGGCCAUCUUCCUUUUGAUGCUCUAGCUUACGCCUCUGUCUCUUAUAGAAGGAGAAGUAGUGGAAGUGUGUGUCUCAAUGGGGCCGUACAUUGGAUCUAUGAGAAGCAGAAAGUGAUAGUGGCAUUUGACGUUAGAAAGGAGACAUUCAGAGUGAUGCCACUACUCCAAGAUUAUUCGCAAGAGUUUGAUGACUGUGAUGAUAAAGAUAAUUAUCACUUUUAUGGUAGUAUUGCUAAUUCUUAUUGCCGAGAAAGUGCAGUUGUAGUUGAGGUGGGGGGGAUGCUUGGGUGUGUUUGUUGACAAGUCGUGGAAGCAAGACAAGAUCGUGUUAUGUAUUUUGAAGGACUAUCAAA
rnacentral:lncRNA from 1 species